rnacentral:rRNA from 1 species
UUGGUUAAGAGCACGUAGGCGGACUGUAAGUCAGAGGUGAAUCCCAGGGCUCAACCUUGGAACUGCCUUUGAAACUGCCAGUCUAGAGUUCGAGAGAGGUGAGUGGAAUUCCGGGUGUAGAGGUGAAAUUCGUAGAUAUUCGGAGGAACACCAGUGGCGAAGGCGGCUCACUGGCUCGAUACUGACGCUGAGGUGCGAAAGCGUGGGGAGCAAACAGGAUUAGAUACCCCUCGUA